UAAUAGUAUAUCGUAACGUUGUUGUGGUUAAAACGUUCGUAGUCUAACUAAGAAUUAUUCUUAAUUGCUCGAGAAAGACUUUGCCAUCGUAUUAGAGAAUUUACUUCUCUAGUUGAAGGUUCACUUUAGUGACAGGCAAUGUCCUGAAAGGCUUUCUCUUCAGCGCUAAUCAGAUUGAAUGUCAGACUCUUGUAGUCGGUUCAGCUGUGUCAGUGUGGGUCGUUGAGAAUUCUUCGUUUAGUGAUUGUGAAUAAAUCCGCAUGCUCAAAGUAGGCAUUGUUCCAAUUUGGUGUUUACACCAUUUUGGGUUUGCUCGAAGGUUUUAGCAUGAUAUCACAAAAAGUACUUCACAAUUAAGGUUGUGUUGUACGGGAUGAAUGAGAUGCUGGUUCAAGCCAGACGUAUUGAUGGGAUAGAGGUGAAAUUACAGUCACCCUUCAAGACGAGCUAAUGCGAAAGCAUCUGGCGAGAACGUAUCUAUCG
rnacentral:rRNA from 1 species